rnacentral:lncRNA from 1 species
UUUUCCUUUUUAUUAUUUUAAUUUUCUUUUUAAUAUUCUCCUUUCCUUUUCUGUUUACUUUUCUUUUGUAUUACUUUCUCCCUUUUGUUUUUUAGUUUUUAUCCCGACGGCCUCUCGCACAGAGUCGACGAUGAGAACGUACGUCUCCCUCCCACACUGCGUGAAUAUUACCGGAACCAUGUGUUAUUUCGUACACAAAAUACAUACAUAUAUAUAAAUGAUUGUUUCUCAGCUGCGUCAAAUAUGUUUCACAUUGAGCUUCUUUCCUUUCUUGUUCGUUGUGUUUAUUCUUCUUUUCCCGC